UUGGUGAGGUGACCCAGUCUUCAGAAAUGUUGGACCUCAGAAUCAGCUGGUAAAGAGCAUGUGGAGAGAGAGGAGACAACAAAAACCUGUGGCUGAUUGCACAGCAGAGUUGGACUCGAAUGAACUUCUAUGACUUCACAAAAAUGUGAAAUCUGGCACUUGGCAGAGCCAGAAGGAAACAUCUGGAUGCUUUUGAUCAAAGAUGCUUGUGGAAAAUGAGACUGCAGAGCUUCAAGAAUGGCAGUUUGAGAAAGAAAGAAAGAAUGAAACUCUCCUCAGCAGAAGGAUGUGAUUUCUGUAGUUUCCUGAGCACACAGAAGAGUGGAGAGGACCUUCUUUGCCCAUUUGCUAAAGAACAGUUGAUAUUACAUUUGACAAUCCCCUAAUCCAAUUUAAAUCCAGCUUGCUGCUGGCCACCUGUGAGCAAUUUUAUUCUGUGGCUUUUUGUUUUAAUCUUGAGAGCGCUCAUUUGUCUGUGGAGGAUGAUUCCCUUGGACUGGCUCAGGAUCUUGGGCCCACCACAACAGCUGGGCACUUAAUUCAGACAUUUGGUGUUACUGAAUCCUGAUUUUUUUUGGAAGGAGUUCCAGUCCGUGGGAUGAAUCCUGCACUCAGAAAAUUGCUUUUCAUGCUGUGGUGUUUGCUGCCAUUGUCCUGUGAAGGUGAAGUGUUGUCCCAGUGCAGCCAGGAUGGAAAGGAAGGUAACCUGACUGGCUGACUGCUCUUGUAGACAGUAAAAUGAAACAGUCCUUAGCUCCUGCUAAUGGCAUCAGCAGUGUUUCCUUGAUUUAAUAAUCCAGAGAGAAUGAUUUUACUG
rnacentral:lncRNA from 1 species